AGGAAGGAAGCAAUUACAAAAUGCAUCUUGUUUACAUCAAGAAGAAGGCCCAGCCCCUGCCUA
rnacentral:tRNA from 1 species